GUGCCAGCCGCCGCGGUAAUACGUAGGUGGCAAGCGUUGUCCGGAUUUAUUGGGCGUAAAGCGAGUGCAGGCGGUUUUUUAAGUCUGAUGUGAAAGCCUUCGGCUUAACCGAAGAAAUGCAUUGGAAACUGGGGAACUUGAGUGCAGAAGAGGAGAGUGGAACUCCAUGUGUAGCGGUGAAAUGCGUAGAUAUAUGGAAGAACACCAGUGGCGAAGGCGGCUCUCUGGUCUGUAACUGACGCUGAGGCUCGAAAGCGUGGGUAGCAAACAGGAUUAGAUACCCUGGUAGUCCACGCCGUAAACGAUGAGUGCUAAGUGUUGGGGGGUUUCCGCCCCUCAGUGCUGCAGCUAACGCAUUAAGCACUCCGCCUGGGGAGUACGACCGCAAGGUUGAAACUCAAAGAAAUUGACGG
rnacentral:rRNA from 1 species